AACAGCUUCAAAGACCACUGAUAACGGCCAAUCGCCGCCUUUGCAGGAAGCGAUGCAGUAACCUCGCGGCGCGAGUAGCUACGGACAAAACUGAAUGAUGACAUCAGUUAGCGGCAUUCUGCCACACGCCACCGAGCGAUACAGGUUGACUUAUUCUCGCAUUGACACUGAUACAACGGAGGUACGGAAUGUGAGGGAGACAUAUAUUUAAAGAUCGUGCAAGUUUCGCUACUCGAUCUAAGCCAACAUAGUGUCAAUGAGUAGCAUUGAUAAUCCUGUUUUGGAUUACAUCUGGAAUUCAAUCCUGUGAAUUCAAAUUCCUGUAUUUGAUUGAACAGGUCACAUUCGAGGACACUAGUUUUUACCAUAGCAUUUCACUUCACCCCAGUCUGGAGCAGGCCUACUCUCCAUGAAUAUUCAGUUUCCAUUCUAUACAGCAUUUUAAUUUGCUUGAAAACUGAUUAUAUCAUAUAUGUUGAAAGUUGGACAGUGUGUGCUUUCUCCUCAUCAGAGUGUCGUUCUGAAAGGUUAGUGGUGUAUAAUUAGAUGUUCCAUUCAUGCACAUGACGGUUUGACUUUCACCAAUCAUUAUCGGAUCAAGUUGGAUGUGGAUGUGAUCGGCAUACAUUGAAGGAUUACCAAGACGAUAUUUUCGCUAUGCAAAGCCAAACUGUCGCGCCUGAAUUUGGAUCGUAAUGCGGUGGAGUAGUAACGACUUUGGGAUCAUCGUUGCAAUGGUUUUGUCUCUUUUGCCACGAAAAGGUUGGGCAAUAGCGUGUUACGAGUGCGUCACAUUGGAGGACCCGGCGUGCGCUGAUCCGUUCAACCCGUGGAAGUUUAACCCAGUAAUAUGCAAAGGUGAUGGCAGUGACGGCGAGGUGAAGUGUGCGAGUCAAAAAGAACAUUCUUCCUCAAACUCGAUCGCCCAUGUACAAAGAGGGUGCUACGUCAGUGGACAAUUACAAGGCCUGAAUGACAGCAAUGGCUGCCGACUGUGGACCAAUCAGCAGGGCGACUAUACAGCUUUAUACUGCUUCUGUAGCACAGACUAUUGUAACGGAUCAGUCUCGUCCCAUUGCACGACAUUCUACCUAACUGUAGUUGCUUUAAUACUGAACCAUUUAGCGAGGUUGGCUUCCUAGGAUUAACCACAGUGCGCAUGCUCCAUCAUCAUCUACGUCAUCAAAGUUACCGACAGACGUUUUGUCUGAGGUGGCUUUUGCCUCAUGCUGAUUUUAUAUGGAUUCAUCACGUCACGAAGAAUGGUGGUUUUUUGUGUGUGCCAUUCUAUUUGUGCGUGCCUUUACCGAACAUUCAUCAUCAUAGGGUACGAUUCCGUUGAGAGGAUGAGCCUUCUUUCGGUGAACUUCAGGGGUAGGUUAUGGAAAGUUGUCCGAGGUUGCUACACAGGUGGUCAAAUCCCGAGCCUGAAUUGGACGAACGGUUGCCGUGAUUGGACGAAUGAUGUCGGCUAUACUGCCCUCUAUUGUUUCUGUGAUAAAGACAUGUGCAACGCUUCGAAAAGAACCUGUACUGUAACGGAACACUUUCUGCUUGCUCUGGUGAUGGCUUGGAAACUUUUAAUGGCCAUGUGAGAUAUAGAGAAAAUAAGACUAAGAUUUUGCACGACUCGGUCGGAAAUCCGUCUGUACGGACCUAAACUCAUCAAUAUGAAUGGUUCCCCGGCCUGUUGAUGGCGAAAUUAGACACAAAUCUAACUAAUUUUUACAAGAAAAUCUACCAAAAGAAGAAAACGUCUUCAGUGGACAUAACUGGUUAAAAAUAUUAUUGCUGUGGUGUGUAAGUUCUGUUCAGCUUAAUGUGGUCUGCGCAUAAGACGGUGAGAAACCACGCACUACUUUCAAGAUGGCAGCACUAUAUUUAAUCAGUGCUUUUGUCUGUUACUCUUGUUCGGUUGUUCCCCUUUGUGACGAAUCGUUGGUCUGACAGUGUAAUCUAAAGUAUCCUAGUCGCUGUAGCAUUGUUCUCUGCUUAUAUUCAUUAGACCUCGUUUCGGCGCUAAUGGUCUAGUCGUCAUAACCAUAACCGCUUGGCUGGUGUAACAUUUUGAACCAGCUGAAACGCCACCGCUGGCGCAUUUUGAUUCGUUUGAGUGUAAUAGAGAUAUAUUGGUACCUCCGUCUCUCCAUAGGCGCCGCUCGGGUGGCGCUGUUCUUUUUUCACGAAAUUCAAGAUAAGAUUUUAAGGGGACUUUAGUUGAGGUCUUCUUCGUCUCUGUUUAUACACCUUUCCAGAAAUGGGGCGCUGAGUGUCCGAAAUAGAGAUGUCAUAAGGGGAAACUAGGCCUCAUGGUGGAGGGACAAAGGAGAUGGUCAUGGUUGACCAACACACUUGAGUGCCUUUAAUGACGGCAAGGGGGAAAAAGUCAGUUCCGAUGCAAGCCACCAAUUUGGGAAGCAUGUAUAAGUAUACUCGUUUUAAGAUUGUUGUAAGACAUUUAGUUAGGAUCUUAACACGAUCUUGUAACGAAUGUACUUGCGCAUUGACACGAAAUUGAACAAAGAAUCUUAUAUCUUGAUUUUCGACCUGGUCUAGUUCCAUUCUCGGGGAGCAAGGCGAGCUAAACGAUACUUCUAGUAUGGAUUUAAUCCCUGAAUAGUAUGGAUAAUGCACUGUCUGAUAUGCCCGUCAUCGAAGCCAAUUAACAUUUGUACAAAUAUGUAUUAGCACUGUCUAAUCUUAUGGUUUAACCCAGUUCUAGGUUAGAGAAAAAAUUAUUGACUCUCGUUUUAAUUUAAUACAUCUAUUAGGUCAAGGGUUGGGAUUGUAUAAUACAUGUAUUAGAUUUAAAGCCUUACGUCGUGCGUUGAAAAUUUGAAUCAAUUUGAAAAUUUCCCAAUUGCGUAUAUACAUGUACGUACUGCACUGUAAAACAUCUCCCCGUAAAUUUUACGGGAGAAGAACAGCAGCUCAACUGCCGACAAAAAAACCUAAAAUCAACGGUAUUCCAUGGGAGUUCAAAUCCAUAUUUUGGACGUAUUAAUGCAAUUGGUAAUUUUCAAAUUCAAUGGCAAAUUUACCUUUUUUGCGAACGGCGUAGACUUUUAAACUGUUUCAAAGCAAAUGUAAGUUUUAUUUGUUACAGGGGCAGUUUACAGAUAAAAUAAACUUUGGAUAAUAUCAUCCAGGUUGUAA